rnacentral:rRNA from 1 species
GAUGAACGCUGGCGGCGUGCCUAAUACAUGCAAGUCGAGCGAAUGGAUUAAGAGCUUGCUCUUAUGAAGUUAGCGGCGGACGGGUGAGUAACACGUGGGUAACCUGCCCAUAAGACUGGGAUAACUCCGGGAAACCGGGGCUAAUACCGGAUAACAUUUUGAACCGCAUGGUUCGAAAUUGAAAGGCGCCUUCGGCUGUCACUUAUGGAUGGACCCGCGUCGCAUUAGCUAGUUGGUGAGGUAACGGCUCACCAAGGCAACGAUGCGUAGCCGACCGGAGAGGGGGAUCGGCCACACUGGGACUGAGACACGGCCCAGACUCCUACGGGAGGCAGCAGUAGGGAAUCUUCCGCAAUGGACGAAAGUCUGACGGAGCAACGCCGCGUGAGUGAUGAAGGCUUUCGGGUCGUAAAACUCUGUUGUUAGGGAAGAACAAGUGCCAGUUGAAUAAGCUGGCACCUUGACGGUACCUAACCAGAAAGCCACGGCUAACUACGUGCCAGCAGCCGCAGUAA